CGUUUGUUCACUUCGGUUAAUCAGCCUCACUGCGGAUGACGAGGGGUAUCUCGAUCCUGGCAUAGUUUCUUUAUUUUGUAAAUUAGUCAUCGUUGCGUUAUUUAUCUGGUUGCUAUCAAAAACUUCGCCUAUGAUUCGUGGCUACUCCAGCCUCUGUCACGGACAUGAACUUUGGCCAGCAUUCGCUUCCGUUUACCAGGAUUAGCGGAGAUUUCCCCUGUCGGAACCAAUUUGGGACUCAGCUCUUCCUGCGGCAAAUCCUCAGCCUCAUACUUGCUCUUCGGCAAUAUAUUAUUUCCAGGCCACUCGUAUGCUGGUCUUUUUUCGCUUUAUUUCAGAGAGACAAUAGGAGUAUGUUUUCCGAUUCUCGG
rnacentral:sRNA from 1 species